GCAGGCGCAUGCACGAACACAAACGUUUUGUGGGGAAGAAAAAUGGGACCACUUGUGAAAGGUGGUCAAAGAAAAGGCGUUGGAUUCAAUCCUCCUACCGUUCGUGUGGUCCGCGGUCUCCCGGUGUAACGCCAUCUCCCUCGAGCCGCCAUGGCGAUCAGCCGUCUCUCUGUGUGCCGGGGACUCGCGGUGAGCUCACCCGCGAAGUGCGGCCGGAGGAAGCAGGCCUCAUAGUCCCGCGCGGGGAUUCAACCGCCGAAAUGCAGCGAGCGAACAUUCGGAGGUUCGCCUUCGCCGGACGCCGAACAUUCUGUACGCAGCCGGGAGCUGACGGUAUCGAAGGAAGGGAGCCGUGGCCGGUGGCCAGACAUCUCGGUGGUGGACAUCCGGGAUUCAAUCACAUGGAUCCUGUGUAAAGUGGUCCCGCUCCUCGCUGAGCAAACUUCGACCUGGACGUCAACUCGAAUGAGUUUGAGUGAAGCAGAUUCCAUUGAUAAAGGGAGCGUCUCAGAACUGGAUGGUGACCACCGUUUGGCACAGGAACCGGAAACCAACUGACUGAAUAUCAUCAGGAAAUAAAAUGGUGUGGUCUUUAAUGUGACUGUGGUGCCUUCUCAUGAGUUUGAGUUCGGAUCCAAUCACUCCUCUCUCGCCCAGAAUCAAAAACGGCACAGGCCUGUGAACCAGGAAGUUAUUUGAAAAGCCGUUUUUGAGGCCCAUGUAUGGUGCACCCUUUGUCCUCUUUGGUAAGACAAUUUAGUGCACUCAAAGAAAAAACAUCUCUCACUACGAAUAUAUGUUUCUGCUACUGGUGCCACUUUUGGUCUACUAGUUCACAAUUAAACCUAGACCGACCCUACUAGUAGUAUCAACAUGCCAACUCGUAGUUUUGCCUCAUGAGUAAGUUGUCUUACAAAGUAUGUCAAAGUCAAACACUCGUAGGUCAUGAAAAUGCAUUCAAAUGAGCAAUUUCAUGAUCCAUCAACCUUAAUUAUUUAAAGUAGCAGUAUUGAUAUUGGCGAAACUGACCUGAUAUUUAAGUUUAUAUUAUUAGUAAGGCAAAUUUUAAUUA